CUGGAGUUUCUUCCUCAUGCUGCCCAAUCGCAUUUUCCUUCUCACUAUGCUUUUGGCCUUCUGCAACCACGUACUCUCUGCAAAUCCAGGCUGAGAUUUGUUGAUUAGCCUCCUUUAUCAGCAAAAAUUACUCUGAUGUCUCUACUGUUUCAACCUUCCCGUCCACCGCCUCCUCAUGCAUAUUUUCCCUUGGCAGAACUGUCAUGAUCGAGAAAUUUUAUGAUACUACUGUAUGUACGUGCAUGGGACUUAACAUGAUCAGUUGGUGAAAGGAUUAAGCCUCAGGUAAAACACAAGCACUCCUUAAAAGCUUUCUUCUGUCAGAAAUCAGAGAUGGUUGCUAAUUAAUAAGGUAAGCAUUAAUUCAAGAUUCUUUCUCAAACAAGUUCCUACCUUGAUUCUUGUCUGAUGUAGUUGCUGUGAAUCUCUGCCAAGAAGAUGACAUUGAGCAUAUUGCGCAGUUGGGGUCGUGUGAUCCUACCAUGGCACCAACAUCACUUGUAAGUGAAAUAUAGAAGUUAAUAUAUAUCGAAGUAUUGUGAUCUAUUUGAUUCUUAUAAUUUUCACAUUUCUAUGCCUAGAUGCUGGUAGAGCUGCAAGAAAUUGCAACUAUUUGUAAGAAGAGAAAUAAUUGAAUGGGCAAAAUAAUUAAAAAAAAAUUUCUAUUUGAUAUUCUAAAAUUCAGAAAAUAGAGUUUACCGAAUGUAAACUUAGUCGGGGAGAAUUACGUUAUUCCUUCUUUUUUAUUCUCUAGUAACACAUAACCGCCACCCAGAUAUAACGGAUGAGUCAAAGUAUCCCUCUAUACCAGGUGGCUAUUUAAUUCCUCCCGGUAGGCUGCGAGGUGAUUGGGUUUGCUUCCCUUCGUGCGUGAUCAGUCCAAUUCACUUCACAUUAUAGGAAUGUUGGGCCGACCUACGUACAUGUGGUUUGAUAGGUUAUUCUUUUUCAGAGUUCAAUCUCGUCCCAAAAUGUGAGAAAUUCGGCGGUCAUCACUAUUUAAU
rnacentral:lncRNA from 1 species